rnacentral:miRNA from 1 species
UGGGGUGGGGAGUGGGGGACU